rnacentral:rRNA from 1 species
AACGCUAGCUACAGGCUUAACACAUGCAAGUCGAGGGGCGGCACAGAGAUAGCUUGCUAUCUUGGGUGGCGACCGGCGCACGGGUGAGUAACGCGUACCCAACCUGCCCACCACUUGGGGAUAACCUUGCGAAAGUAAGACUAAUACCCAAUGACGUCUCUAGAAGACAUCUGAAAGGGAUUAAAGAUUUAUCGGUGAUGGAUGGGGAUGCGUCUGAUUAGCUUGUUGGCGGGGUAACGGCCCACCAAGGCGACGAUCAGUAGGGGUUCUGAGAGGAAGGUCCCCCACAUUGGAACUGAGACACGGUCCAAACUCCUACGGGAGGCAGCAGUGAGGAAUAUUGGUCAAUGGGCGAGAGCCUGAACCAGCCAAGUAGCGUGCAGGAAGACGGCCCUAUGGGUUGUAAACUGCUUUUAUAAGGGAAUAAAGUUAGUCUCGUGAGACUUUCUGCAUGUACCUUAUGAAUAAGGACCGGCUAAUUCCGUGCCAGCAGCCGCGGUAAUACGGAAGGUCCGGGCGUUAUCCGGAUUUAUUGGGUUUAAAGGGAGCGUAGGCCGGAGAUUAAGCGUGUUGUGAAAUGUAGACGCUCAACGUCUGCACUGCAGCGCGAACUGGUUUCCUUGAGUACGCACAAAGUGGGCGGAAUUCGUGGUGUAGCGGUGAAAUGCUUAGAUAUCA